UACGUAGGGGGCAAGCGUUGUUCGGAAUUACUGGGCGUAAAGGGCGCGUAGGCGGCAGGCCAAGUCGGGAGUGAAAGCCCGGGGCUCAACCCCGGAAUGUCUUUCGAAACUGGCCAGCUGGAGUGCGGAAGAGGCAACUGGAAUUCCCAGUGUAGCGGUGAAAUGCGUAGAUAUUGGGAAGAACACCUGAGGCGAAGGCGGGUUGCUGGGCCGACACUGACGCUGAGGAGCGAAAGCGUGGGGAGCGAACAGG
rnacentral:rRNA from 1 species